GAUGAACGCUGGCGGCGUGCUUAACACAUGCAAGUCGAGCGAGAAGUUUUGAAAAGAUUCUUCGGAUGAAAUUUAAAAUGGAAAGCGGCGGACGGGUGAGUAACGCGUAGGCAACCUGCUCCAUACAAAGGGAUAGCAUUUGGAAACGAAUAUUAAUACCUUAUGAAACUUAACUAGUGCAUGCUAGGUAGGUCAAAGAUUUAUCGGUAUGGGAUGGGCCUGCGUCUGAUUAGCUAGUUGGUGAGGUAACGGCUCACCAAGGCGACGAUCAGUAGCCGACCUGAGAGGGUGAACGGCCACAUUGGAACUCAGACACGGUCCAAACUCCUACGGGAGGCAGCAGUGGGGAAUAUUGCACAAUGGGGGAAACCCUGAUGCAGCAACGCCGCGUGAACGAUGAAGGCCUUUGGGUCGUAAAGUUCUGUUCUAGGUGAUGAAAACUGACAGUAACCUAGGAGAAAGCCCCGGCUAACUCCGUG
rnacentral:rRNA from 1 species